AAGAAGGCCCUUGGGUCGUAAACUCUUUUAUGGGGGAAGAUGAUGACGGCUACCCCAGAAUAAGCCCGGCUAACUACGUGCCAGCAGCCGCGGUAAUACGUAGGGUGCGAGCGUUGUUCGGAAUUACUGGGCGUAAAGGGCGCGCAGGCGGAUACAAGUCGGAGUGAAACCCGGGGCUCAACCCCGGAGGGUCUUUCGAAACUGCUAAUCUAGAGAGGGUCAGGGCCAGCAGAAUUCUUGGUGUAGAGGUGAAAUUCUAAUAUGGAGAGAAUACCGUGGCGAAAGCGGCUGCUGGGGCCACUCUGACCUGAAGCGCGAAAGCGUGGGGAGCAAACAGGAUUAGAUACCCUGGUAGUCCACGCCCUAAACAUGAGCACUGGAUGUCCGGAGGGUUCCACCCUUCUGGGUA
rnacentral:rRNA from 1 species